AACGAACGCUGGCGGCAUGCCUAACACAUGCAAGUCGAACGAAGUCUUCGGACUUAGUGGCGCACGGGUGCGUAACGCGUGGGAAUCUGCCCUUGGGUGCGGAAUAACUUCUCGAAAGGGAUGCUAAUACCGCAUAAUGUCGUAAGACCAAAGAUUUAUCGCCCAAGGAUGAGCCCGCGUAAGAUUAGCUAGUUGGUGGGGUAAAAGCCUACCAAGGCGACGAUCUUUAGCUGGUCUGAGAGGAUGAUCAGCCACACUGGGACUGAGACACGGCCCAGGCUCCUACGGGAGGCAGCAGUGGGGAAUAUUGGACAAUGGGCGAAAGCCUGAUCCAGCAAUGCCGCGUGAGUGAUGAAGGCCCUAGGGUUGUAAAAUUCUUUUGCAGGGGAAGAUAAUGACGGUACCCUGCGAAUAAGCUCCGGCUAACUUCGUGCCAGCAGCCGCGGUAAU
rnacentral:rRNA from 1 species